UGGAAUUUUCGGAUUUCAGCUCAGAGGAAGCCACGGUACAACUUUCUUCAGUCCUUCCAAAUUGGGUUCACCCGACACCAGCCGCCUCCACCAUGCUGCCCAAGUACGACCCAACAAGAUCAAAGCCAUGUACUUGAUGUGCACUGGAGGUGAGGUCAGCGCCAUCUGCCUGGGCCCCAAAAUUGUCCCCUUGAGUCUGUCUUCAAAAAAAGUUGGUGAUGACAUUGCCAAGGUAAUUGGUGACUGGAAAGGUCUGAGGAUUACAGUGAAACUGACCAUCCAGAACACAGAGGCCCAGGGUGAGGUGGUGCCCUCUGCCUCUGCCCUGAUCAAGAAGCCUCCAAGAGACAGAGAGAAGCCGAAGAACAUUAGACACAAUGGAAAUAUCACUUUCCACAAGAUCGUCCACAUUGCCAGAGAACUUUCUGGAACUAUUAAAGAGAUCCUGGGUACUGCACAGUCUGUGGGCUGCAAUGUGGAUGGCUGCCACCCUCAUGACAUCAAUGAUGACAUCAACAGUGGAAUGCCCAGCUAG